rnacentral:rRNA from 1 species
UACGUAGGGUGCGAGCGUUGUCCGGAAUUAUUGGGCGUAAAGAGCUCGUAGGCGGUGUGUCGCGUCGGCCGUGAAAACCUGCAGCUUAACUGUGGGCGUGCGGUCGAUACGGGCAUCACUGGAGUUCGGCAGGGGAGACUGGAAUUCCUGGUGUAGCGGUGAAAUGCGCAGAUAUCAGGAGGAACACCGGUGGCGAAGGCGGGUCUCUGGGCCGAUACUGACGCUGAGGAGCGAAAGCGUGGGAGCGAACAGG